rnacentral:rRNA from 1 species
UACGUAGGGGGCUAGCGUUGUCCGGAUUUACUGGGCGUAAAGAGCGCGCAGGCGGUCGUUCACGUCGGGUGUGAAAGCCCCCGGCUCAACUGGGGAGGGGCACUCGAUACUGAUCGACUCGAAGGCAGGAGAGGGAACCGGAAUUCCCGGUGUAGUGGUGAAAUGCGUAGAUAUCGGGAGGAACACCAGUGGCGAAGGCGGCUUUCUGGCCUGUUAUUGACGCUGAGGCGCGAAAGCGAGGGGAGCAAACGGG